UGCACGUGUGCUGUGUGUGGUGUGUAUGCAUGGUGUGCACGUGUGCACUGUGGUGUGUAUGCAUGGUGUGCACGUGUGCACUGUGUGGCGUGUAUGCAUGGUGUGUGCACGUGUGCACUGUGUGGUGUGUAUGCAUGGUGUGUGCACGUGUGCACUGGUGUGUAUGCAUGGUGUGUGCACGUGUGCACUGUGUGUGGUGUGUAUGCAUGGUGUGUGCACGUGUGCACUGUGUGUGGGUGUAUGCAUGGUGUGUGCACGUGUGCACUGUGUGGCGUGUAUGCAUGGUGUGUGCAUGUGUGCACUGUAUGCAUGCAUGUGUGGUGUGUGUGCAUGUGUGCAUGGCGUGUGCAUACGUGUGCAGCAGCACCUGGUCCCGUCUCCAGUGCCCAGCAGCGUCACACGCACUCUGGUGUUUUAUAAAUGCAUGGUCAGUGAGGCUGACAGCAC
rnacentral:lncRNA from 1 species